rnacentral:misc_RNA from 1 species
UAUGCCUUGAAAAGGAAAAAUGAUUUGUUACAAUGAGAAUUUUAUACUUUUGAACAAAGGAAACAUAACCUGAUCCAGUAGAUUUGUGCCUAAGCAACUAACUCCCUUUGCGUCAUGGCAACUUGAACACUAGUAAAAGUAACCUCUACAUUUGAACGAGCCACAUAAGCACUUCUUUCUCCUAUGAUCUGCUUUGUCCAUACCAUAAUCAAAGGUCAACUCUUGUAGGGGAGGAAUAUGUCUAAUGGCAAA